rnacentral:rRNA from 1 species
CACUUAGAUGUUCUGGGCCGCACGCGCGCUACACUGACGAAGUCAGCGAGCAUGUCCUACGCCGACAGGUGCGGGGAAUCUUGUCAAACUUCGUCGUGAUGGGGAUUGAUUAUUGAAAUUCUUGAUCAUCAACGAGGAAUUCCUAGUAAGCGCAAGUCAGCAGCUUGCGUUGAUUACGUCCCUGCCCUUUGUACACACCGCCCGUCGCUACUACCGAUUGAAUGGUUUAGUGAGAUCUUCGGAUUGGCGCCACUGCGGCUCAGCAAUGGGCUCGGUGGAUGCCGAAAAGUUGAUCAAACUUGAUCAUUUAGAGGAAGUAAAAGUCGUAACA